AACAUUUUCCUGUUCUUCAGAGUCUAAUUCUGAGGAAUCAGAUCCACUGUCGUCCUAGGUGGCCAUCAGUCCCUUUUUAGUUCUGAAUGAGCUUUUCUUAAAACCUUCUCUUCUGGAGCUCUCUUUCUUUAGCUUGGGACAUUCAUUUCUGUAAUGACAUGUUUCCUUGCAUUCAUAGCAUGUUAUAUAUUUGUUUGACUUACCUCUAGAAGUGGAUUCUGAGCGAUCUCCCUUAGGUCUUG
rnacentral:lncRNA from 1 species